rnacentral:tRNA from 1 species
GGCCAGUUAGCUCAAUCAGUUAGAGCGUGGUGCUGAUAACACCAAGAUUGCAGGUUCGAUCCCUGCUCGGUCCC